AUUGUUACCUGGUAGGGAGAUACCGUGAUCACAAAGUGGUUUUCCCAGGGCGAGGCUUAUCCAUUGUACUCCAAUGUGUUGACCCCCGCGAUUACUUCAAAUGUGGGAAACUAGACUGUACAACAUGUGGUAGUGUGGACUGCAUUCUCGCUUUCCCCU
ensembl:snRNA U1 U1 spliceosomal RNA